GUGAGCUUUCCCAUCUUCUUUUGCAGAUCAGCAAGUGAAUCCUUCAUAACUUUACCUCUUUGAGUCUUCUUUUCAUCAACCAACUUGAGUUCCAACCUAUAUAAUGCACAGUCAUCGUAGUUAUUGACCUCAUAUUCAUAUAAAUGCCACUCAUAGCAGCCUGGAGGCUGUGGAUCCAUAUAAUAGGACCUCUUUUGCCCACCAAACUCCUUAAUCACUUGCUUCCUGGAUUCAUGGAUUCAUGCCAACCACGUCCACUGUAGUCUGGCAAUGACCUCUGCUUCCUGCUUCCACUUUCAAAUGCCCUUCUAGGCUUAUCAAAAAAGAGCCAUUCUCUAAUUGUUU
rnacentral:misc_RNA from 1 species